rnacentral:lncRNA from 1 species
ACCUAAAAUGACAAAAGUGUCCUCAAUUUAAUAAACAAUGGGCCAAAAUGAUUUGAGAAAAAUUGAGGGUAUUUUAGUCAAUUUAUCGUACAUUUAAUAAAGAUUUUUCACGGAAUGAUCAAAAUGAUUGACGGUGAACAAAUUCAGGGACCACUUUUAUAGAUUUUAAAUCUCAAAAAUCAAAGUGAGAAAUUAUGUCAAUUUCAAAGACCAUUUUGAAUAAAAACCAAAUAAAUAAUUUCAAAGUAUUCCUCUGUAAAUAAUUAAUGGAAAGUAAUAAAAUAGAGGGUAAUGUUGCAAAUAUUUAUAUUGAUAGACUGAAUCUGAACUAUAAAUUUAGUUAACAUAACUAGUAAUUUUUAUAGGGAGCUACGUACUAGACCCACCACUAGUCCUAUUUGCCCACCCACAUUAUAAUCUCCCCAUCAUAAAAAGUUGAAAAAUUAUAAUCCUAUUUUUCCACUCACUAUUAUACCUAAAAUAAUCUCUAAUAUGUUAUUUUUCCACCCACUAUUGUUCCUAGAAAUUGAAAUGUUAUUUUUCCAACAAUAAAGUCUCAUCUGAUGAUAAUCUACUGGCAAAUGAACGACCUUCCAAAUGCUAAGUUUUUGUAUGAUUAUGCACUCUAAUAACUACCAUUAAUAUCCAAUCAUCAUCGAUUCCUAGUUUCAUACCUUUUAAUUAAAAAGGGCGUCCACACUUUAUCAUUCCAAAAUUUCCUCUAUCCUCAGCCAUUUUGUCUUUUUAGCAAAUUCAACUUACAUAUUGUGCAUUCACUUCACAACCCCAGGUACGUUUACGACUUCUGUUACCUUUUCACGCCUAAUAUAUUAUUAUUAUUAUUAUUAUUAUUAUAUCU